GCCAGCACCCUUGCUGUCUUCUUUGCGUCAUACUACGUUUUCAACCUUGAGUAUCAGGAGUCAGCGUCCAUCACACUGGAGAUGAUACAGAGGUUCUUUGUGAGGAUCAAUCCAGACAUGGGAACAAAAUGCCCUGCAAAACUUGGUACAAGCCGCAAGACAGGUCGUGUCGUAAAGAGGAAGGUUACAAGCAUCAGCCCUCGGAUCACCACCUUCCUCCAGCGGCUCUCUGAGUUUGAAUGGAGGACUUCCAACUAGGUGGUGAUGUAGACUACGCUGAACCCGACCAUCCUGGUAACGGAAAUCUAAAUCCCAUGUCACAUUCUAUUUCCUGGGACCCACUGAUAAUUAUUACA